rnacentral:tRNA from 1 species
UGCCUAGUAGUUAACUUAUAAUCACAGAUUGCAAGUCUGAAGUAACCUUUUGGUCUAGGUUU